rnacentral:rRNA from 1 species
GUCCCAGUUCGGAUUGUAGUCUGCAACCCGGCUACAUGAAGCUGGAAUCGCUAGUAAUCGCGGAUCAGCAUGCCGCGGUGAAUACGUUCCCGGGCCUUGUACACACCGCCCGUCACACCAUGAGAGUCGGGAACACCCGAAGUCCGUAGCCUAACCGCAAGGAGGGCGCGGCCGAAGGUGGGUUCGAUAAUUGGGGUGAAGUCGUAACAAGGUAAC